UACGUAGGGGGCAAGCGUUGUCCGGAUUCAUUGGGCGUAAAGCGCGUGUAGGCGGCUCGGUAAGUCAGCUGUGAAAGUCCAGGGCUCAACCCUGGAAUGCCGGUUGAUACUGUCGAGCUCGAGUCCGGAAGAGGUGAGUGGAAUUCCCAGUGUAGCGGUGAAAUGCGUAGAUACUGGGAGGAACACCAGUGGCGAAGGCGGCUACCUGGACCGGUUCUGACGCUGAGGCGCGAAAGCGUGGGUAGCAAACAGG
rnacentral:rRNA from 1 species